CUAGAAAGGAAUUCCACCAUGUUUGCUCCUUACAGACCAAACCCUAGACCCUUCAGAGGUACAGGGACUCUCCUGGUUCCCUAAGAUAGUCUCGACAUUUCCUGUCCCUUUGCGGCUGUCUCACCCCCCUGCAGCCAACCAUACCCCUGACUAGGGUGUGCAGCACAACCGCCCCUGCCCCCAAAAACUACCCUGAGAAAGAUCCCUUUUCUCAGGUUCGUUCUCCACAACAGAACAGAUUGGAACUCCACUGAAUAUCAGGAGAGAAAAAAAAAGCAAUUAGGCAAUACCUACUCUGCCAAAGGAGAACCCAGUUACUGAACAUCGGAUGAGAACAUGGAUAGCAAAUUGGGAGUGAAGGUUCAUACCUGGGUCUCAGCACAGUACAGGAAUGCAGACAUCAGUACUACUCAAAGUGUGGUCCCAUAUUGAUCCCAUACUGAUCAACUGUCAUUGGCUGAUGGAGAGUUAUACCAGCCUGAGUAUGACAGCAACAUUCCUUUAGGGAUUAAAGAAAAUGCUUCAGAAGAUUGGAACACUGCUCAGCCUUCCCAAACUUCUUUUACCACUGAUGUUUCUACCUUAGUGAUCUUCCAUUUUGAUGCUUCUUUCUCUUUACACUUAAAAGUUCAUAAAAUCUUUCAACAUUAUUUUUCACUAUAAAAGUUUGAAGUUCUCUGUGAAAUGCCUACUAUGUAAGAAUUAAGAUAGAUUUUAAAGAUUGUUAGUCUCGAAACUCCAUGCUCAUCAGUUAGUGCAUGGUAUUAAAUUAUGCUUUUUUCCUCCUUUUAAAUAUACCAACAUUAUAUUGCUGA